UUGUCAACAUGCAAAAUAAACGAUGUCAGUAGUUGAUUUUUUGUGAAAUAGCUUGAGUGACGAAAUAGAUGUUUCUUAGAAAAAUCUUAUAUAAGUUGUUUUAUGUGCAUCAAAAAUAUAAAAAAACUCGGGAUGAAACUAACAGUUAAAUAACGACUUCACUUAUUCACAAUAUUACAGUAAUAUAUUUCUAGUUCAGUACUCAGUCUUGCAUUGACGAGACGUAUAUUGAAGGUUUCCAUACUAAUCACGCUUAAGACGAAAAACCAAAAUGACAAAAAUCAUUUUACUAUUAUCAAUUUUCUUAAUUAUUGGCCUCUACAUGAAUCCAGCUGAGGGAUGUCAGGGCAAUGCGUGUCACCCAUUAAAAGGUCGGAAUUGUUGUGAAGGUUAUGAGUGCAGUACAUGGUAUCUGGAAGGUACGUGCCUUGACCAGGCGUUUAGUGGCGCUUCCAUUUACGCCGGCCAUAAGGUUUGAAAUGUUUAGACAUGGAAAAAAUUAUAUUCGGAUCCUUGGCUACAAUCCCGUUAUCAAGAGAUUUUUUUAUGGCUAAAUGAUUUUAUUGAUACUUGAUUUUUUAAUAGGUUCUAACUAACUAAAUAAACAUUGUCAUUCCUAUGAACAUGAAA